CGAUCCUGAAAUUGAGAAAGCAGCACGAGCAAAUCGUAAAGCGGAAGGAAGGCAUGUUUGAAUCAUACAAUCAAGAGGCACUUUUAACAAGUUGCAAGUUCAAUAAUGUGUUUCUACAAAUCAUUACCAAACAACUAGAAGCUCAAUGUAUGGUGCAAGCAACCUUUCAAAAUAAUCCUCAUUUUAACACCUACAAUCUUGGAGUGAAGAAUCACAUGAAUUGUUCUUAUGGAGCUAAUCUGAAUCAAGCAUUUCCUCAAGAUCAACAUUUUGAAGAUCACCUUGAAUCUUUUGAAGAUACUCUUAUCUUGGCCAUGAAGAUGACUCAAAGCAAUUUUGAGGUGAUGAAGGCAAACCAAGAAGUGUCAAGC
rnacentral:lncRNA from 1 species